AAGAGAGCUAACAGCCUCCGAAUGCUCGCCUCCCAGCGACGAAGGAAAAGAAUAAUAAUCCCCUCCAACGGUCACCACCGCCGUCUCGCGUUCUCCGCCUCCACUCCCCUCCCUCCCUCUCCAACCACCGGCGACGCCUCCUCAUGGACCCACGCGAUCCGGUCCUCCGCCGAGCUAGGCCGUUUCCGCCACGCCGUCGCCCUCUACGCCCGCAUGCAGCGCUCCGGUCACCACCCCGACGCCUUCGCCGCCUGCGCAGCUCUCAAGGCCUGCGCCCGCCUCCCCUUCAUCCCCCUCGCCACCGCCAUCCAUGCCCAGCUCCACAAGCUCGGCCUCCGCUCCCAUGUUUACCCCCAGACCGCCCUCGCCGACUUCUACUCCAAGCUCGACGGCCCCGACGCCGCCAGGAGGGUGUUCGACGAAAUGCCCGUGAAGAAUGUCGUCUCCUGGAACUCCAUCCUCUCCUCCCGAAUAAGAGCGGGAGAGUUGGAGGCCGCCCGGAGGGUCUUCGAUGAGAUGCCAGUGAGGGACGUGGUGUCCUGGAACUCGAUAAUCGCCGGGUACGCCAAGGCCGGGGACAUGGACCGCGCUGGGGCUCUUUUCCAUUGCAUGCCCGAGAAGAACCCUGCCUCUUGGAAUGGGAUGAUAAGCGGAUAUAUUAAUCGCGGGGAUUUGGUUAUGGCGAGGGAACUGUUCGAUAAAAUGCCCGUGAGAAGCAAUGUUUCCUGGAUCACGAUGAUUUCUGGUUACACGCGGAACGGGGAUGUUGAUUCUGCUAGGGAACUAUUUGACAAAAUGGAAAGGAGGGAUCUUUAUGUGUGGAAUGCGAUGAUUGCCUGUUAUUCACAGAAUGGAUGCCCCAGAGAGGCGCUUCAGUUGUUCAACAGGAUGCGGAAGCCUGAUGUGGGGGGCGUGCAGCCUGAUGAGAUGACCUUUUCUAGUGUCAUAUCAGCUUGCUCGCAGUUGGGGGACUUGAGAUUUGGAUUGUGGGUUGAAGAAUACAUGUCCUAUAGUGGGAUCGAAUUGGAUGAUCAUUUGAGUACUGCUCUUAUUGAUUUGUACUCAAAGUGUGGAGGAAUGGACAAGGCUUUUGUGCUUUUUGAUGGUUUGAAAAAGAGAGAUAUAGUGUCUUAUAGUGCAAUGAUUUUGGGUUGCGGCAUAAAUGGGAGGUCUUCGGAUGCAAUCAGUUUGUUUAAAGAGAUGUUAGAUGCAAAAAUAACCCCAAAUGCUGUAACCUUUGUCGGGCUUCUGACAGCAUAUGGUCAUGCUGGUUUGGUUGAGGAAGGGCGCAGAUGCUUUGCUUCAAUGUGGAGCAAGCACAAGAUUCCACCCUCAGCUGAUCAUUAUGCAGUUAUGGUAGAUCUUCUUGGUCGGAGUGGAAGGUUGGAAGAAGCAUAUCAGUUGAUUAGGAAGAUGCCGAUGCGUCCCCAUGUUGGUGUAUGGGGAGCCUUGCUUCUUGCUUGUAGGUUGCAUGGCGAUGUAGAGCUUGGGGAGCUGGCUGCUAAGAAUUGCUUCGAGUUGGAGCCCGAAGCAAGUGGGUAUUAUGUCCUCCUGGCUAACAUCUAUGCUGAAGCUGGAAAAUGGGACAAGGCGAAGAGACUAAGGAAGGUGAUGGUGGAAAAGGGGUUAACUAAGAUCCCAGGGUUUAGCUGGGUGCAAUCCUCAUGAAAACCCUUCUGUUUGAACACAGCAGGAUUGAUGUUAAGCUGUGAUUCAGAGUUAAAAAGUGCUUGAUGUCGGUGUAUCAUACCAUGUAAAGCCAAUGACAUUUCAUUGGGUUAAGGCUGGCAUGUUGAAGGUCUGAAAUCCAUGAACAACAGGUUCGACCAAGUGCUAGCAUUUAGCUGCAUCAAAAACUUCUCAAGUAUUCCUUGCUCGAAAUGCAGAUGUUCAUGGCUGAUUACUACGUUGGUGGAGGAAUUGCAUGCCUUGGCUGAGUGUAUGAGGUGCAUGAAUUGCUCCUUGAGCUGAUUUACUACCUUCAAAUGGUGGAAUUAUGAAGGGAGAUAUUCAUUGACGAAAAGGAGCUCCAGUUUAUGGGAUUAGCUGUUGUUAGGUAUAGGCGCAUGAUUUACCAACUCUUUGAAAAUGCCAAAGAGAAGUGGAAAAGAAAAGGGGCCCUGAAACUGUCAUUAUGUCAAGUGAGAUCAUGUUAUGAGUAAAGAGAGGUAUGUGACACAGCUUUACACUUCAGGCACGAUUUAUGUUUCGUUUUUAUUAAGCUGUCAAUUAUUUAUA